ACUUUUAAAGGAUCCUAGUUUAAUCCGUUAGUCUUAGGAGCUGAAAUUCUUGGGCAACUCCAAGUAAAAGUA
rnacentral:tRNA from 1 species